UAUCGCCUACGGACGCAGCAGUGGGGAAUAUUGCACAAUGGGCGAAAGCCUGAUGCAGCAACGCCGCGUGAAGGAAGAAGGGUUUCGGCUCGUAAACUUCUAUCAACAGGGACGAAAGAAAUGACGGUACCUGAAUAAGAAGCCCCGGCUAGCUACGUGCCAGCAGCCGCGGUAAUACGUAGGGGGCAAGCGUUAUCCGGAAUUACUGGGUGUAAAGGGUGAGUAGGCGGCAUGGUAAGCCAGAUAUGAAAGCCUUGGGCUUAACCCGAGGAUUGUAUUUGGAACUAUCAAGCUAGAGUACAGGG
rnacentral:rRNA from 1 species